rnacentral:rRNA from 1 species
CACUCUGGUUUGGGAGUAUAUUCUGUGAUAUCAAGAAACUUUACAUACCUUGUGGAUAUUCCAGCAAGGACAUGUGAUUGCAAAAGAUGGCAACUUAGUGGCAUUCCUUGCAGCCACUCUAUUGCGUGCUUUAGGGAAGAGAGGAUAGAUCCAGAAGAAAUGGUUCACAAGUGCUACACAAUAGAGACAUACCUGCUAGCAUAUGGGCACAAUAUAAUGCCUAUGAGAGAUAGGGCUCACUGGGAGCAAGUUAAUGGAAUUGUCGUUCAUCCACCGAUUUACAAGAAAAAGAUGGGAAGGCCACCAAAGAACAGGAAA